UACGUAGGGGGCAAGCGUUGUCCGGAUUUAUUGGGCGUAAAGAGCGUGUAGGCGGCCUUACAGGUCAGCUGUGAAAACUCGAGGCUCAACCUCGAGACGUCGGUUGAAACCGUAUGGCUAGAGUCCGGAAGAGGAGAGUGGAAUUCCCGGUGUAGCGGUGAAAUGCGCAGAUAUCGGGAAGAACACCCGUGGCGAAGGCGGCUCUCUGGGACGGUACUGACGCUGAGACGCGGAAAGCGUGGGGAGCGAACAGG
rnacentral:rRNA from 1 species